rnacentral:rRNA from 1 species
UACGUAGGUGGCAAGCGUUGUCCGGAAUUAUUGGGCGUAAAGCGCGCGCAGGUGGUUUCUUAAGUCUGAUGUGAAAGCCCACGGCUCAACCGUGGAGGGUCAUUGGAAACUGGGGAACUUGAGUGCAGGAGAGAAGAGUGGAAUUCCACGUGUAGCGGUGAAAUGCGUAGAGAUGUGGAGGAACACCAGUGGCGAAGGCGGCUCGCUGGGACGGUACUGACGCUGAGGCGCGAAAGCGUGGGGAGCAAACAGG